rnacentral:lncRNA from 1 species
ACGAAUCUUCUUUCGGGAGAAGAACCGCUGUGCACAGUGGCGAACCGUUGCGAACAUAGUAGUCUUUCGUUGAAAAAACCAAAGUUCGAUCUCCAACAAAUAGGAGUUCAGCACCGCCAUCUAUGACAACAAGGUAGGCAUCAAGAACACUGAGUCCAAGUUCACAGUCACGCACCGCGAUAUUCCUUUGGGUCGGUGAACCAUUCCCGGGUUUUAUCAACCCGUUCAUAGCGUCAGGCAGGUCGAGACUGCUAUUGCUGUCAAUUAGGUCAGCUUGCUUCAGACUGAUGCUGCUAAUUUGAUAAUUGCUACGGCGGUGAGAGCUGCUCCAUCGCGCCAAAUGGUGGUUUUUGAUAUGCAAAUGAUGGAGGUUUUUUUUUUCUCUGUCUCAAAUUUGUUGUUUAGCCAGAGUUUUGGGAAUGAUUUGUUGGUGUUUUGUAAAUGGUGUCAGUGAUUUUUUGAUUUGUGGGUGGUGGUCAUGUUGUUGUUGGUAGUGGUGUAGGCGACAAUGGAUUUAUUGUUGGUGGUGCAUGUGAUCGUGGUGAGGUGGUGGUGUGCGUUUGGUUCUUGACGUUGGGAAUGGCGACGGUGCCAAAGUGGUGGUGGCUAUGGCAACCGGGUGUAACCAAGUCUAUCUUCAUUGUGCUUGUCUGUGACCAAAUCUAUGUUAACUUUGACUAUGUGUGAUUUGGUUACAUAUAGACACAAAUUAAACUUCACAAUUAGUCACAGAUAAUAGAGGACAGUGAAAGUAGUGAAUUUGAAUUGAAGAUCGUAGUGGUGUUGCAUUGGAGGUGAUAGUGGUGGUAACUGGUGGUGCGGGUCUAUGGUGUGUGCAAAUUUAUUAGUGGUCUAUGUUACCAAGUAUGUGUUUAUUGGUAAUGGUUUGAUCAAAUCUGUGUCAAUUUUGACCAUUUGUUACUUGAUUACAUAUCGUCACAAUUAAGAUUAAUGUGGUCAUAGUUAGUACCGGAUAACACAUAUUAGUAGCUCGGUUACAUACAGUCACAUAUUAUACGAUUACAGACGAUCACAUUGAAGACAAAUUCGAUCACCAUUAGUCAUAUAUAACAUAUGCAUGGUCAAAGGGGUAGGGUGGUAGCUCCAUGGCAGGCCUGUCCUGUUGGUUCGAACCCUAAAACUAGUUCUUAGAACUGCUACUUUUCAAGGAUCAUUUGACUUCCAAAUGCACAAAAUACCACCGUACCUUUUGAAGACAAUAUUUUUAAAAAUUGUGCAUAUGUCAAGCUUAUCGUGAAAUCAUGUAUUGAAUACAAUACCUGGCUCAAAGCUGUCAAGGAAUGUAGCCCAUCGGUGUUCCAAAGGCAUUUUUGUUGGAUCAGACAAGACAGGCCCUGUUAAAAGCAUUGUCUUCCCGUUUUAGUUUCCUACAUGAUCAUACAAGGGCCCUUCUAACUCACUGCAUGUUCUAAUAGAGAUUGCAUAGUAGUUUCUCAUGGUGGUCAUUAUACAAUCAUUGAAUGUUAUUCCAUAGUCAAAUUCCAUAAAAAUAAGUGACAAUGAUCGUACCUCGUGUCUGUAUAAUACAAUCGUUGAAGAAGUUGGGUACCCGGCUAAGGGUUCCAUUAAUUCUUCAUUGGAUACUGAACCGUCUUUCGUACUUUUUCGUGCAGGGACAAGAGCUAUGGUGAUAGAUGCUGCACACACAACAUUGCAACACAUAGUUUUGAAUCCGAUUUCUAAAGCUAAUUCAGGUAUCCAAUGCACAGUAUCAAAGAAAAUGAAAUCCAGCUUCAAUUCAUGAAGCUUUUGAUUAACUUCAUCGCGUGUAAGGUCCAUUGCAUAGAUAAGGGUAUCUCGGUGGCUGUCUC